GAGUAACGCGUAGGUAACCUGCCUACUAGCGGGGGAUAACUAUUGGAAACGAUAGCUAAUACCGCAUAACAGCAUUUAACACAUGUUAGAUGCUUGAAAGGAGCAAUUGCUUCACUAGUAGAUGGACCUGCGUUGUAUUAGCUAGUUGGUGAGGUAACGGCUCACCAAGGCGACGAUACAUAGCCGACCUGAGAGGGUGAUCGGCCACACUGGGACUGAGACACGGCCCAGACUCCUACGGGAGGCAGCAGUAGGGAAUCUUCGGCAAUGGGGGCAACCCUGACCGAGCAACGCCGCGUGAGUG
rnacentral:rRNA from 1 species